AGGUUUGAGGGCUACCUGGCUGUGACAACUCUCAGCCCACUGAUCACCAGGGUUGAUUCAGCUGAUCUGGCUGGCUAGGCAGGUGUCCUCUUCCUCCCUCACCACUCCAUGUGUGUCCCUCUUAAAGCUGUGCACUUGAAGAGUGACCACCUUUAAUAGAGGACCGGGGCUGGGGAUUUAGCUCAGUGGUUCCAGCGCCUGCCUUGCAAGCACAAGGUCCCGAGUUUAAUCCCUGGUUCAAAAAAAAAAAAAAAAAGAAAUAGAGGAGGGCCAUUU
rnacentral:sRNA from 1 species